rnacentral:rRNA from 1 species
UACAGAGGAUGCAAGCGUUAUCCGGAAUGAUUGGGCGUAAAGCGUCUGUAGGUGGCUUUUUAAGUCCGCCGUCAAAUCCCAGGGCUCAACUCUGGACAGGCGGUGGAAACUACCAAGCUGGAGUACGGUAGGGGCAGAGGGAAUUUCCGGUGGAGCGGUGAAAUGCGUAGAGAUCGGGAGGAACACCAGUGGCGAAGGCGGCCUUCUGGACCAAUACUGACGCUCAUGCACGAAAGCGUGGGGAGCAAACAGG